AUGGCCACUUGGCAGAACAGAACCGAGCGCGGACGAUCGGAUCGUGGCCGGCGGGAACCACGAUUCGGUCCCUCAGGACUCCGCAGAGUUACGAAGUCUUCAAACCGAAAGCUAGCUGGUGUCUGGGGAAAGGGAAAAAGAAAAAACGCUGGGCUCGUCCGGGAUUUGAACCCGGGACCUCUCGCACCCAAAGCGAGAAUCAUACCCCUAGACCAACGAGCCGGUGUUACAGUGGCUCCUGGUGCCUGUCCUUGGAGGCCUGAGACCGCGGCUCCGCCCUCGGAUCCCGGCCUGAGAAUCCGCAGCCAGAUCCUGUGGAUGGUUUUGGUUUCGAUUCGAGAAGGAGAGGAGGAGGCGCAGCGCGGCCGGAAUCUCCGGCAUCCCGGCUCCAGCUUGGCUUGAUUUUGGUCCUCCUGACAACCAUAUGCGACCGGUGCAUUCGCUCAGAUCCCGCCCGCCCCCGAGCAUCCCGGGACCCCAGGGAGACUGCGCAUGCGCGAAGGAAACUGCUCAAAGACCCAAGGUAGCAGUUAGCUCCACCGUCUUGACUGGGAUACUAUCCUCGCUUAGGGUACACAAGGUCUGGGCAUCAAAUCCCGGACGAGCUCUUUCCCCCUUCUUUUAGGAGAAUCUACGUCCCGUGAGAACUAGCAUCAAUAAGGAGUUCACUAGGCAAAAUGUGGGCGCGAAGGGGAGAGAGGGCACAGCCCGGAGCUUGGGGAAAGCGUCGGUCACGACCUUCAUUCUCCUCUUCGCGUUGCUUCUUAGACCAAGAGUGUUUCCUAGUCCCAAAUCUACGCGGUUUUUAGCAGAGCCCAGUGGUCUUAGGUCUUUGUCCUAAGGACCCUCCGUGAUGGCUCUGUAUAUGCCCACCUAGCUCAGUGUGUAGAGUGUGGAACUGUAAUAUCAGAGAGCCCGGCGUUUACUCUCCUAUCAGAAGAUGGGUAUUCUUUCCCCUCUCGAAGAUAUUUGUCAUUGUGGUUCCCAGAAGUGGGGUCGGGGGAGGCGCGAGCGGAAUUAGAUGAAGGCAGUCAAAAGGUACAAACUUCCAGCUGUAAGGAAGUACUGAGAUACAGUGUACAACAUAAUAAAGAUAAUUAACACUGCUGUGUUAGAAGAGCUCAUCUUUAGAGUUAAGAGAGUAAACCCCGAGUUUUCAUCACAAGGAUGAUGGAUGGUCACUAAACCAUGAUUGUAAUAAUGAUUGUGAUGUAUGUGAAUUGAAUCAUUAUGUUGUACACCUUAAACUUAUACAGUGCUGUAUGUCAAUUACAUCUCAGUAAAAGUGGGGGAAAUAAUUAAAAUGUUUAUCUUAGUGCAAUUUCUCUUCUUUUUAUUUAUGAGUCCUUAGCAAACCACUGAAACAUCACGAAACUGAUAAAGGAGACAGUGACACUCCCCAUGACCUCAAGAUUACUUGCGCCCUCUAUUGGGGUACAGGCUCAGCUGCCAUUCCCCCACCGUCCUCCCUGGGGGGAGAAGGUCCCAUCGCCUUGGUCAUUCCACUUAGCCAGAAAUUCCUUAGCCAGAACUUGGUUCCUCAGGGACAGUCAUUUUUUCUGGGUAAAAUGAUGGCUCAAUCCUGGGCAUAUUCUUUACAUUAAAAUUUUAAAUAUACAUUCACACUAAUCGACUCUUGAGAGUCCCUUGGACUGCAAGGAGAUCCAACCAGUCCAUUCUAAAGGAGCUCAGCCUUGGGUGUUCUUUGGAAGGAAUGAUCCUAAAGCUGAAAUUCCAGUACUUUGGCCACCUCAUGCAAAGAGUUGACUCAUUGGAAAAAACUCUGAUGCUGGGAGGGAUUGAGGGAAGGAGAAGAAGGGAACGACAGAGGAUGAGAUGGCUGGAUGGCAUUACUGACUCGAUGGACGUGAGUCUGAGUGAACUCCGGGAGUUGGUGAUGGACAGGGAGGCCUGGCGUGCUGCAAUUCAUGGGGUCGCAAAGAGUCGGACACGACUGAGCGAUUGAACUGAACUGAACUGAACCAUUUAAGGGUAUAUUCACUGCAAGAAAUCGAAAUUACCUAUUAUAAUUAAAA
ensembl:lncRNA